AGAGUUUGAUCCUGGCUCAGGAUGAACGCUAGCUACAGGCUUAACACAUGCAAGUCGAGGGGAAACGAUAUUGGAAGCUUGCUUCCGAUAGGCGUCGACCGGCGCACGGGUGAGUAACGCGUAUCCAACCUGCCCAUCACUUGGGGAUAACCUUGCGAAAGUAAGACUAAUACCCAAUGACGUCUCUAGAAGACAUCUGAAGGAGAUUAAAGAUUUAUCGGUGAUGGAUGGGGAUGCGUCUGAUUAGCUUGUUGGCGGGGUAACGGCCCACCAAGGCAACGAUCAGUAGGGGUUCUGAGAGGAAGGUCCCCCACAUUGGAACUGAGACACGGUCCAAACUCCUACGGGAGGCAGCAGUGAGGAAUAUUGGUCAAUGGGCGAGAGCCUGAACCAGCCAAGUAGCGUGCAGGAAGACUGCCCUAUGGGUUGUAAACUGCUUUUAUAAGGGAAUAAAGUGAGUCUCGUGAGACUUUUUGCAUGUACCUUAUGAAUAAGGACCGGCUAAUUCCGUGCCAGCACCGCGGUAAUACGGAAGGUCCGGGCGUUAUCCGGAUUUAUUGGGUUUAAAGGGAGCGUAGGCCGGAGAUUAAGCGUGUUGUGAAAUGUAGACGCUCAACGUCUGCACUGCAGCGCGAACUGGUUUCCUUGAGUACGCACAAAGUGGGCGGAAUUCGUGGUGUAGCGGUGAAAUGCUUAGAUAUCACGAAGAACUCCGAUUGCGAAGGCAGCUCACUGGAGCGCAACUGACGCUGAAGCUCGAAAGUGCGGGUAUCGAACAGGAUUAGAUACCCUGGUAGUCCGCACGGUAAACGAUGGAUGCCCGCUGUUGGUCUGAACAGGUCAGCGGCCAAGCGAAAGCAUUAAGCAUCCCACCUGGGGAGUACGCCGGCAACGGUGAAACUCAAGGGAAUUGACGGGGGCCCGCACAAGCGGAGGAACAUGUGGUUUAAUUCGAUGAUACGCGAGGAACCUUACCCGGGCUUGAAUUGCAGAGGAAGGAUUUGGAGACAAUGACGCCCUUCGGGGUCUCUGUGAAGGUGCUGCAUGGUUGUCGUCAGCUCGUGCCGUGAGGCGUCGGCUUAAGUGCCAUAACGAGCGCAACCCCUCUCCUUAGUUGCCAUCAGGUUAAGCUGGGCACUCUGGGGACACUGCCACCGUAAGGUGUGAGGAAGGUGGGGAUGACGUCAAAUCAGCACGGCCC
rnacentral:rRNA from 1 species